UCGAAAUGUUGUUCCAGUUCGCUAUUUAUUACCUCUUUAAUAAAACGGUAAAGGUGGAAAGUACAUCGCUCAUUGUUUGUUAUUCUGACCAACAAAUUAACCAAGUGACGUCCGAGCAAGACCUUGACAGCGACGAUAAUUGGCUUGAAAUAAAAUGGCCCAGCAGAAAAGAACCUGAGAAGACAGUGCCAGCUAAAGUCCUGCUAUUUGGGGGUUUGUGUUUUUUUAGCUAACCUAUUAGCAAUUUGUUUAAUUGUAUAAAAAGUUUGCAUAAAGGUUGUUUUGCUCUUUUAUAUUAGAUUAUUUAUAUUAGAACUUGUCACAAAGAAGAAUUUGUAUAUUCUGGGUAAAGAUAUUUGGACCGAGGAGGAAAGCAGAGGUGCACGCAUGAAAAAACAAAAAUAGACCAAGCGAACAACAUGGUGGAGCCUAAAAAGCAAGACUGGCAAUGCACGCAACAGCAGCUAGAAAAGUUGUUACCCGUGGCAUCAUCACCUGAUCAUCACCACAGUUCCGAUGACACCACAAACAUAAGGAGUCCACAACAUCCUGACAUUAAGUUAUAUGAUAAUACUGGUCAUGGCAUGCCACCACGAGUAGAUGAGAUCAUGGCAUCCCUUCAUGGU